UAAGGUAGUGAGUUUUGUCAAAUUUCCUAAGCUAUUUGGGAUGUAACCUAUAAGCUUGUUGUAGCUAAGGAGCGAGUACCUUAAGUUGACCAAAUGACCAAGUUCUCGAGGGAUGUGUCCAUUAAGUUGGUUGCGGUAAAGGUACAAGGUAGUGAGUUUAGUCAAAUCACCUACAUUGCUUGGUAUUGUACCGGAAAGAUUAUUAUUAGAGAAAUCUAAUAUAACCAAGUGAUUCAGGUGGCCUAUUUCAGAAGGGAUAUUACCAUCUAAGUGAUUGUAUGACAAGUUGAGGGUCACAAGACUAGUCAUGUUGCAUAUAUGCCUUGGUAUUUCACCAGAGACUUUGUUUUCCUGAAGCAUUAAGGAAUGAAUUUUCGUAAGAUUUGCCAGACAUAGUGGAAUUGAGCCUCUUAUCUGGUUGCCUUGUAGAAGGAGAACGUUGAGCUCUUCGAGGACCUCAAUACUAGGAGGAAUGGUCCUAGUGAGGUGGUUGUGCGAGAGGUUGAGGCAUGUCAAGGUCUUCAAGGCCGAGAAGUUGAGGGACUCCAGCGUCCCUCUCAGUUGCAUCCCACGCAAAGAGAUGCCACUGAUCAGUGGGUGACGUCGGCCCCAAUGCACACCAGUACCACACCUGAUGCCGCGCCAGUUGCAGGGCACCGACGUGUUUCCCCAAGACUGCAGGACAGGCUGGCUCUGGUAGUCGAGGCUGGCUUUCCAAGCAAUGAGCGCGCUCGCCUGUACUCCGAGCAACGCCGGGGCCGGCACAAGCGCGGUAGAGGUGGACAUCAACAUCAUCAGUAUGAUCAUGGUGAGAGUGGCAAUCGUUCUGGGUGUCUGCAUCUCCAUGGGUAGCUGCUAGGCUGGAUGGAAUUGGCUCUGGUUCAGAGAGUCGAUGGGAGCACAUUAAAUAGUCGGAGCACACCUCUGUCGAUAUGUUAUACAUAUUGGACAAAGGUGGGCAUGGAACUCUGCAGAACCUGCCACAAGCGUUUGAUAGGUACAUCCGACGACAGCACAUAAAACAAACUUGGACACGCCUACACAGCGGCCGGCUGCUCCCUGCCAAUCCGGAGCAGCCCGUCAAAAUAAGAAAACUUUGAUCUUUUUUGGAAAGUAUUUGUCUUCAUCAUUUGAUUAGGAAAUAUUUUAUUAUCUCAAAUGGCUAAACAGAAACAACCCAUCAACAGUACAUUAAAUGAUUCACAUGCAUGCAUUCGAUUGUUGGCUCUUUUCCUGCAUGGCGUGGCGUGGAUGACUUUCUAGCAUUUAAUUCAUGAUUUAUGUAUUUUUAAAAAGCCAUAACUUUUAAACCACGAAUCCGAAUUAAGAUCCGUUUCCACCUUUGAAAUCCUUGUGACGUGCUCUUCGAAACUAGGUUACCUUGACGAAUUCCGGUUUAUGAUUGUUGUGCACGCUUACUCCAUGCCGGUUCCCCGUGCUUACUCCAUGCCGGUUCCCCGUGCUCCUGCCCCGGGUAUUCUCAGCGCCCGGCCACCAUCGCACCAGGCGUUCUACGCCGCGCCGCAGCACUAUGCGGCGCCCUACGGCCAGCAGCCGCAGCCAGGCGGGCUGCCGCUGCUGCCCCUGACGGCCCCGCCGCAGCCUCUCCCACCGGCACUGUGGGACCCGGCCCUUCUGGCGGCUCUUCACACCGCUCCUUCCCCGUCCAGCUACACCGGCGGCGGCGACUGGUAGAUGGACACCGGGGCCACCGCUCACAUGGCGGCCUAUCCCGGUAACCUUCACACCUCAUAUCCUGUCCAUACUUCCAACCAUAUCACCGUCGGAGACGGCUCCUCUCUUCCUAUCACCCAUAUAGGUCAUGCAUACUUUUCGUCUAACAGGAGAAACAUAAUUAGAUCUACUUAAACAUGCUUCACUUUACAGCUCAACUACAUACACCACUGAAAGAAAUAGGACCGAUCUGAAUAUUCAGUGUGCAGCUUAACCACACUCCACAAAUAUUCAGCUUCCAUAUCACUUGUCACUUGAAUAGAUUUAUUUAAAGCUCCUAACUUUACGUCGGUUUUAAUAGCCACACUAACAGGAGGGCACUAGAAGAAUUUAAGACAAUUGGUUUGUGUAAAUUACCUGCGAGCUGAUCUUCUUAAACUGUCACUUCUUCCAUCCUCUUUUUAAAACUUGCCAUGCUAGUGCUUAUACCAUUUUCACAUGCAAAAUCAUUUGGACCAUCAGUGUUAUCUACAUCUUCUGUCUCAUGAUCAUCAUCAUUAGUUGAGUUGCAAAUCUUACCUGCCGGAGAUCCCUUGAUGAUGCUGCUGCUAAUUCUGUCUGUCUCUUGAGCUGUAGGGCUUUCCUCUGUUUUUUCUCUGCUUUCUCAACUCUGAAUACUUUCCUGUAGCUAAAGGUUUCAGGCGUCAGGUCAACUUGGGAACAGACAGAGAUGUUGCCUCCUCAAACUACGGCAUACCAUUUCAAAACAGUUCACUGAAGAUCAUCUCAGACACCAUCACACUGUGUUAAGUGUCGCAACUCACAAGAAAUGCAGCUAACUGAGUACAGACCACAAAAUAGACAAUGGCACUAUACAUAGUUAUCCUGUAGCUUGGCGAUGAAGACUGAACAGAAAGGCCUAAAGUGGAUACAUGCAGAGGCAGAUCUUGUCUGAGAUCUUUGUAGAAGUCGAACAAUACCAAGGAAACAGCUAAUUACCUAAUCCGAACGUUCUUAUAGCAACCAAAAUGCAAAGCAUGUAAAUGCAGCAGGAAACAAAUACAUCUGGACAGGCGCAUUUGAUCAGUACAGAAAAACCUUGCCAUAUCUUUAGUUAUUUUCUCCUCAAUACAGAAGACAUGAUUGAAAUGAGUUGAGGGAUAAGGGAUUCCGACUUCAGAAGGACUCUGGGGCGGAUGUCGCGGGUAUGAUAUUCAGGGGUACGAUGGAGAUGUUAGUGAAGAUGCAGUCCAUCACUAAAGGCAUGAGAUGGAAGAGCCAAAAUAAGGGAUCAUGAAUCUGGGGCAUUCAAUCCUGAGAAGAUCCUUGUUGCUGUCUUACUGGACCGGAGAGCCUGCUCAAAAGCAGUAGCGAUAUCUACAUCUGCGAAAUUGUUGAUUCUCCACCAUCUCUCUUAGCUACAGGAUACCUGUACAUGGUAGGCAAUUCGAACUAUAUACAGUAGUUGUGAUGGUAGUGUCACCAGUGAUUUAUGGUCAGGACUUCGGACUCGCUAGCUGCAAUGCAUGCUUGUGAAUCUUGUGACACAUUGCAACUGUGCAUGUAAGUUGAAAUCCACGCAACCGUUUCGAGAAUAUAUUCGAUCAUAUUCAUCUGAGUGAAUACUAAACGAUACUCAUGUGCUUCUUUCCAAAUAAUUUUAUUUAUUCAGAGUUUGGGAAAUUUUGAACAGAAAAGAAGGCAAGAUACAAACUGAAUUUGAUGUUAAAAAAUAACUGAUAGUAGCAUGCAACGGUACAGAUAAAGUUGGGUCAUAGUAACUGACAUUAACAUUUUUUGGAAUCCAAAUUGAAACAAUAAAUCACAGCUAGCAACUAAAAAAAAACAAAUUGGCACUUUCUCCAAACUCAUACAUGUCUUCUCUUUUUGUAGCAUCAGUGCUCACAGGACACUCCAGCAGAUUUGAGAAGGAGGCACACACAGACGUUCCAGCAGCCACUGCAUGGAAAUAUUUUUUUUAGAGAAAAGGCGAUUGCCCGACUUUAUAGAUAAAGCCAUACGGAGAGAGUACAUAACCAGCAGAGUACGACACCAGAACCAAAGUCUCACAACAACACCCACGCAGAGCAGCUAGGAAGGCAACAGUUUGGUCGGCACGCAGGCCCAAAUAAGAUAAAGGGGCACGCAGGCCACCACCUACGCAACAAAAGGGAAGGCAGCUACGAUGAAGCGCCAUCGGCUGGAGAAGAUAGCAAAUUGGCAGACGCCCGCACUCUGUCGAUCAGCAUCUCCAGGCCUUCACGAUCCGCCGAUUUAGUCAAUAAAUUCCACUGCUGCAAGAGUAUAGACACUUUAAACAGGACAUCAGCAGGUUUGUUUGGGAAAACACCCUCAAUAGUAAACUUGUUCCGAAUGGUCCAUAGGGCCCAACAGAGGGCGCCCAACCCAGUCCAAAAUAGGUUCCUAGACCGACCACUCAGGCCGGCCGUCAAAAUCCGAACAUCAGCAAAGGAACCAGGAGCCCAAGAGGUAGAGUACCAUGAUCGAACACAACCCCAAACCAACAUAGCUAAGUCGCACUAAAAGAAAAUAUGGUUAGUGUCUUCGAGAGAAAAACACAUAGCACAAUGGGCAGAGCCUGGCCCAUUCCUUUUCUGAAUCUGGUCGGCCAAGGGCAGCCGGGCCCUGAAGGCCUGCCAAAGGAAUAUCUUGAUCUUAGGGGGAACCCUAGCCGUCCAGAUUCGCUUGAACUUUGAGGUAGUGGAACCAGAGAUAAUACGGUUAUAAAGGGACUUGACCGUAAACUUCCCAGACACGGUGUGGGGCCAAGAAACAGAGUCCGCCUCCUCCGAGAGCGCAGGGAACAUAGCAACAAGGCGAUGCCAGUCGCCCAACUCUACAGGAGAGAGGGACCUCCGAAAUCCCAGGUCCCAACCAUUAUGCGAGAGUUCAGAGAUUGAAGUCUCGGGAUUGGAGCAGUACGAGAACAGAACUGGGAAGGAGGACGCAAGGGGGGCAUCCCAGUCCAACCAGAAACGGGGCGAAGCCCCGUCAUUGACCACAAACUUGACAUGAGAGCGGAACACCUCCCUAACUUUGACGAGGUCAGCCCCGAACAGGGAGGCCCCGGCCGCUGCCACAAACAUAGGGCUCCCAUUAGGGAAAUAUUUUGCUCUUAAGAUCUCAAGCCAUAAAGAACCAGGAUUGGCAGUCAUGAUCCUCCACCACCAUUUCACAAUGAGACACGUAUUCAUCACCUGUGUAUUGACAAUCCCAAGCCCCCCAAGGCUUUUAGGUUUGCAAAUAUUGUCCCAUUUAACUAGCAUGUAUUUACGCUUGUUCUCAGCAGAGUUCCAAAAGAAGGCCCCUCUAUGCUUGUAGAAACCCGCAUGGGUACCUUUAGUUAAUCUGAAGAAGCCCAUGGUGAACAUCGGUAGGGAAGAGAGACAAGAAUUAGUAAGGGCCACUUUGCCAGCAGAAGUGUUAUACCUGCCACGCCAAGGUAAAACUCUGUUCCCCACUUUAGCCACCAAUGGCUUAAACUCCUUAGAACAUAGCCGACACGGGGAGAUAGGGAGACCUAAAUAUUUGAAGGGAAAAGCACCCAAGGAGCAAUUGAGCAACUGGGAAACCCGUAACGCUUCGGCCUCGUCAACACCAGUGAUAAUAGCCUCACUCUUAGAAAAGUUAAUUUUGAGCCCUGACAAGGCUUCAAAACAGAGAAGAAUAAAUUUGAGGUUGGCAAUACAUGAGUUAUUUAACUCCACAAGAAUGAUCGUGUCGUUCGCAUAUUGGAGAUGGUGAGUCCCAGAGGGAGAAGAUGAGAUAUCACAGGAGAGAUAUGGCCAGCCGAAGCCGCUCUAUCCAACAUGCAAGAUAAAGCGUCAGCAACAAAAUUGAACAAAAUAGGAGAAGCUGGAUCCCCUUGCCGAAGGCCACGAUCAUUGGCAAAGUACUUGCUAACAUAACCAUUCACAGAUACCGCUGUAUGACCACCAGACACCAACUGCAUCAUCCGGUGAACAACCCCUGGGUCAAAACCUUAGCAAGCAGAACAUGGCGUAGGAAGUCCCAGCUGACCGAAUCGUAGGCUUUCUCGAAGUCGAGUUUAAGGAUCAAGGCUUUGGAGCACCUUUUCCUAAGAUCGUGCACAAUCUAAUGUAAGCAGAGGAUACCAUCUAGAAUAAAUCUACCCUUAAUGAAGGCAGACUGGGACGGGCUAAUGGUGCGAUGAGCCACGAGGGUUAACCUAGUCGCCAUGCCUUUCGCAGUAAACUUCGCGAAGUUAUUUAUCGGCCAAUGGGACGUGUCGUGGAAUUAUCACGGCAGAUGUCCUAGUGAAAGGACUUAAUCGUGGAGCCAUCGCAACUAGGAAGCUUAAAGGGGUGAAAACGGGACAAAGGACACGAGGGUUUAUACUGGUUCGGCCCCUUGUGGUGAAGGUAAAGGCCUAAUCUAGUUUGAGGUGGUAUUGCUUAUGUUUCGAUUACUAGGGAGCGAAUCCGCUUGACCUAGCUUUCGAUCUGAUGUUAUCUGCCCUGAACCGCCGCCGGGUCGUCCCUUUAUAUACAGAGGUCGACGCCCAGCGGCUCACAGAGUCCCGGCCGGCUCAUAAACAGUGUUCGGCUCGGUCUCUAACUAUCUUUGCCUUACAAUACAAGUUAUGAACUUAUGGCGGUUUAUCUCUACGGGUCUUGAGUCGCCUUUGGGCCUUGGGCCUUUGACUGAACCGCCAUCUUCCAAAUCUGUCUUGGGCUUCAUGAAUCGCCAUAGGUAUAACCCGGCCCCUCCUUGGCGGGUCAUACCUAAUAGUUAUAUCCCCAACAGGACGAAACUGAGAAAUGGAGUCAACGCCCUUUACCUUGGGAAUGAGAGUGAGAACGACAUAGUUCAGAUAGGAAAUGUCGACAGUGCGAAGCCAGAAUCCUUGUAUGAUCUUGCACACCGGCGUGCAGAGAGAGGGCCAGAAGCGUUUAAAGAAUGGAAUCGUGAAGCCAUCCGGACCCGAGGCCGAAUUGACAUUGGCAGAAUUAAUGGCCAUCUCGAUGUCCUCAGCAGAGGGAGAAAUAAUUAGGGCCGCGUUCUCGUCUUCCGAAACCCGUUUGUCCUGAGUCCAUAGGUUAGGGGAAGGAAUGAGGCCCGAGACCAGCUUGGCAGCGAGGAGCGAAGAGAAGAAGUUGAAAAUGUGAUCCAUGAUCAAAUGGGGGUCAACUACCUUUGUACCAUCAAUGACAAGGCUCUAAAUGGAGCAUCUACGCCGGCGACCAUUAGCAAUGGCAAAAAAAUAGGCUGUGGGAGAAUCGCCCUCCAGGACCCUAUUGAUAGAGCCACGCUGCUUCCAAUAGAUCUCAGCCUGCUGGUGUAAAUGCAUGAGGAGGCCCUCAAGCUCGUACCUGUGGCUCCACCCAGCAGACGAAAGGCCGGAGACGUCAGCCUCCUCAUCGAGGGAAGAGAUCUGCCCCAACAGAUCCCUCUUGUUUCUAAGCACAUCAGCCGCAUGGUUGUUGCGGAGCUGAUAGGAGCAAACAUGUCAGUUGUCCAUAGGACCGAAUGAGCGAACUCUAGAUUCCAGCAAGGACUCGAUCUUCAUCGUGAUCAUGUCAAAGAAACCAUCAACAAGGAGCCAGGAAGCAUCGAAUUGGAAUCUGGAGGCGGAAACAGGAGGAGAGAUACCCAGGUCCAAGAUGAGGGGGGAAUGAUCUGAACCAACAUGAGGGAGCACAGAGAGGGAGGCUCAGGGGAACAACACGUCCCACGAGUGGGAGGCAAAAGCACGGUCGAGCACAGAUCGAGUAGGAUUCGCUUGAUGAUUAGACCAGGUGAAGCGAGACCCUGUCCUAGGGAGCUCACGAAGCACACAUUCGGUAAUAAAGUCAUUAAACGCAUCCGCCAGUGACCAUGAAAAAUUAGGAUUAUUUUUAUCAGCAGGGGACCGCAGGAGGUUAAAGUCACCCCCAAUAAGCAGAGGAAUGCCGCAAUAGUCAAUCUUAGCAACUAGUUCAUGAAAGAAAAGCGAGGACAAAGAAUGAUCAGCCGGGCCGUAAACAACCAUGAUCUCCUAGAGUACAUUGAGACUCUUGUGACACACCAUCAUACUGGCCCAAAAGAUACCAUGAUCAAAAGCAACAAAGUCAAAGACAUCCAAUCUAGCACCAAUCAGGAUGCCUCCGGAGUGACCAGAAGCAGGGAGGCAUCUCCAGCAGAACCGGUCUGCCCCAGCGAUCGAGGCAAGCUCAGGAAAUGAGAAGGAGGCCUUAAAGGUUUCCCAACAAAAUCAACAUUAACAUCACGAACCAGGCCCCCUAGCGCCGAAACCACGACUACUCUAAAAGACGCCCUUCAUUUAAAAGAAAGGUUUUGGAUCCGGAGGCUCGAUCGGCUCGGAGCCAUAAACACUUUAGCUCUUGUGGUUUUGUUUUUCUUGAUCGUGAUGGAUGGAGGGCCACUACCCUCCCCACCACCCUAGUACCACAAUAACUUAUUUUUCUAAGCACCUCCUGAAGCAUCUCCCAUUGUACGAGGCCUUAGAUUUGGCCAGGGCGGCCUCCUUAGCUUUCGCCAGGGUGGCUUGGGCAACUUCGUUAAGGCGAAUCACAGAUAGAAGAGAGGAGGGGGAACCACGAAUACGAUAAACUUCCACCCCAAUCUCAGACAUAAUGUUGCAGAGAUGGGCAUCAGGCAUAUCAGGAAGAACCAAACGAGUACUCCCUCCGUCUGAAAAUACUUGUCAGAGAAAUAGAUAAAAAUGGAUGUAUUUAGAACUAAAAUACGUCUAGAUACAUCCAUUUUUCUGACAAGUAUUUCCGAACGGAGGGAGUAGGAGAGAGGGGAAUCAAAGUACCUGGAGGGCAAAGAUCCUUAGCCGCCGCCCGCCGCUCCGCGCGCUCCUGGAUGGGAAUAGCCACAUUCUGCCGGCGAAGGCCCUUCCUGGCCGUCGAGACCGGAGAGCGCACCGGGACGGCAACAGAGCGGGCCGCCCGGGAGGAAGCAUCACCUCCAGAGAGAGCACCCGCCACCGCACCGAGAUUCGCCUCCAGCCUACGGCACAACCCACCAUGCCUCUGCUUGUAGCCAGAGGAGGCCCGACUCUUGACCGAGAACUUGCGGAUGGUCGACUUCUUCUUCUUAGAGGGCUUGCUGCUGGGACUGGGAGGAUUCGCCGCCCCAGUUGGCUGCACAUCCACGAUGCCAGAGAGAGAAUGGGAGGCCGGCCGGACCGGGAGGUUAGAGCAAGCCCCCGACGGAGGGGUAGACCCCGCCAAAUCCUGCAGAUCCUGUGGCCCAGCCCGAGCCCCACCGUCCUUGGCCGCACCAUCCUUGGCAGCCGUAGGAGCCCCAAAGUCAAACAGGCCACGAGAUUUGGACCCCAUGGCCUCCCAUUCGGAGGUAGUAAAGGAUUAGCGUUGCUGCCAGCACCAGUGUUGCCGCCCCCCUCGGAAGUAUCGGGUCUGGAUGACUUGGGAGGGGAAGGAGGAGGUGGCCUGAUCCUCAGUACGAACGCGGAGGCAAAAGGCAUCAUGAAGCGGGAAGAUGUCGACUGAGCCCUGGACACGUUGAGGCUCGAGGCACCAGAUCUUCAUACGGACCGGACCAAGGUUAUCCAGAGAGACGGGGUCUACCUCCACCGGUUUGCCAACCAGUUCACCGAAAGCCAUUAUGAAGCGAGAGUUUCGGAGACCAGAGGGAACACCAUCAACAAGGACCCAGACUUCAGACAAGGAAGCAACAAGACGUGCUCCAUCAUUAGCAGCUUGGACUGACACAACAACUUGGUUUAAGGGAAGGGUGAAACUGGAAUAAGAGGCCAUCAUCCUCAGGCUUUCUUUGGUAGGGAAUGUGACUGCAAAUUCAGACUCAGACAUUUGGUGGAUCUUCCAAUCCCACCCGUCAACCCCCCAUUCUCUUAGCUCAUCAGAAAUGAUUUGGGUCGGGACCGGGGCGGAGAUGACAAAUAUGACAACAGCGUUGGAAAAGACAGGGGCAAUGAUAGGCAUGCCAAGCUCCCCAUCUAAAGAGAAGAAGGAGCAGCCGGGCAGGCCCAACCCGAACUGCUUGAAGGAAGGGAAUCGAGACCGUUCAGAACAAUUGACAGUAAGGUGCCCCUCCUCUCUGCAGAUCAGGCAGAACGGAGGAAACUGCAUGGAAAUAUGAACAGAAACACGGUGUCAGUCAAAGAAAACCACGAAUUGACCAUUCAGAAGGUGAUAACACAACUGAACAAAAACAUAUCAUGGAGCAAACUGGGUAAAAAUAAAUAGACUACAGUGUAUGAGGUGAGCACCUGAUUGAUAAUAUAGAACACAUGCCUUUGUUGCAGCCAAAGUUGAAUCAUCAACAGUGAAAAGCCAUGUGGAAAACACGAGUUGUUUAGCCAAAUGCAAAUGUGGCAAUGGAUUGGCUAAUAAAACACAAGGACUUCUCUAUUCAUGUAUCAAGACUCAAGUGUUGCAUGAGAGAGACUGCUGCCGCUAAUACAAACUAAGGUCUGAAUCCCUGCAUUUACGAUUUAUUCUGUGGACUCAGCAACCCAUCACGGCGCCCCGAAUUGUCUGUCUUUUGAUGAUAAUGCUGUUAAUUUUGUCUGUCUUUUGAGCCAAGGGCCUGGAUUGCAUACUCAAUUCUCCACCCUGCAAUAAUCAGCCAGCCGUGAAGCACCUAGGGACAAUCAGAACUGAUACAUAUAGAUACCUCUGCUUUUGCUCUGUUUUCUCAACUCUGAAUACUUACCUGUAGCUUCAGGUUUCAGGCAUCAAGUUGAUUUGGAGAUAGACUAAUGGCGGAUGCUAUCUAUCCUCUCUCUUUUUUGGCAAGGAGAAUACACGGUAGACUGUGAUAGUAGAUACUCACCCCAUACGGCGCCGAAUCGAAGGCAUCAGGAAUCAUAGGUAGNNNNNNNNNNNNNNNNNNNNNNNNNNNNNNNNNNNNNNNNNNNNNNNNNNNNNNNNNNNNNNNNNNNNNNNNNNNNNNNNNNNNNNNNNNNNNNNNNNNNNNNNNNNNNNNNNNNNNNNNNNNNNNNNNNNNNNNNNNNNNNNNNNNNNNNNNNNNNNNNNNNNNNNNNNNNNNNNNNNNNNNNNNNNNNNNNNNNNNNNNNNNNNNNNNNNNNNNNNNNNNNNNNNNNNNNNNNNNNNNNNNNNNNNNNNNNNNNNNNNNNNNNNNNNNNNNNNNNNNNNNNNNNNNNNNNNNNNNNNNNNNNNNNNNNNNNNNNNNNNNNNNNNNNNNNNNNNNNNNNNNNNNNNNNNNNNNNNNNNNNNNNNNNNNNNNNNNNNNNNNNNNNNNNNNNNNNNNNNNNNNNNNNNNNNNNNNNNNNNNNNNNNNNNNNNNNNNNNNNNNNNNNNNNNNNNNNNNNNNNNNNNNNNNNNNNNNNAGAAAAUAUGGUUAGUGUCUUCGAGAGAAAAACACAUAGCACAAUGGGCAGAGCCUGGCCCAUUCCUUUUCUGAAUCUGGUCGGCCAAGGGCAGCCGGGCCCUGAAGGCCUGCCAAAGGAAUAUCUUGAUCUUAGGGGGAACCCUAGCCGUCCAGAUUCGCUUGAACUUUGAGGUAGUGGAACCAGAGAUAAUACGGUUAUAAAGGGACUUGACCGUAAACUUCCCAGACACGGUGUGGGGCCAAGAAACAGAGUCCGCCUCCUCCGAGAGCGCAGGGAACAUAGCAACAAGGCGAUGCCAGUCGCCCAACUCUACAGGAGAGAGGGACCUCCGAAAUCCCAGGUCCCAACCAUUAUGCGAGAGUUCAGAGAUUGAAGUCUCGGGAUUGGAGCAGUACGAGAACAGAACUGGGAAGGAGGACGCAAGGGGGGCAUCCCAGUCCAACCAGAAACGGGGCGAAGCCCCGUCAUUGACCACAAACUUGACAUGAGAGCGGAACACCUCCCUAACUUUGACGAGGUCAGCCCCGAAUAGGGAGGCCCCGGCCGCUGCCACAAACAUAGGGCUCCCAUUAGGGAAAUAUUUUGCUCUUAAGAUCUCAAGCCAUAAAGAACCAGGAUUGGCAGUCAUGAUCCUCCACCACCAUUUCACAAUGAGACACGUAUUCAUCACCUGUGUAUUGACAAUCCCAAGCCCCCCAAGGCUUUUAGGUUUGCAAAUAUUGUCCCAUUUAACUAGCAUGUAUUUACGCUUGUUCUCAGCAGAGUUCCAAAAGAAGGCCCCUCUAUGCUUGUAGAAACCCGCAUGGGUACCUUUAGUUAAUCUAAAGAAGCCCAUGGUGAACAUCGGUAGGGAAGAGAGACAAGAAUUAGUAAGGGCCACUUUGCCAGCAGAAGUGUUAUACCUGCCAUGCCAAGGUAAAACUCUGUUCCCCACUUUAGCCACCAAUGGCUUAAACUCCUUAGAACAUAGCCGACACGGGGAGAUAGGGAGACCUAAAUAUUUGAAGGGAAAAGCACCCAAGGAGCAAUUGAGCAACUGGGAAACCCGUAACGCUUCGGCCUCGUCAACACCAGUGAUAAUAGCCUCACUCUUAGAAAAGUUAAUUUUGAGCCCCGACAAGGCUUCAAAACAGAGAAGAAUAAAUUUGAGGUUGGCAAUACAUGAGUUAUUUAACUCCACAAGAAUGAUCGUGUCGUUCGCAUAUUGGAGAUGGUGAGUCCCAGAGGGAGAAGAUGAGAUAUCACAGGAGAGAUAUGGCCAGCCGAAGCCGCUCUAUCCAACAUGCAAGAUAAAGCGUCAGCAACAAAAUUGAACAAAAUAGGAGAAGCUGGAUCCCCUUGCCGAAGGCCACGAUCAUUGGCAAAGUACUUGCUAACAUAACCAUUCACAGAUACCGCUGUAUGACCACCAGACACCAACUGCAUCAUCCGGUGAACAACCCCUGGGUCAAAACCUUAGCAAGCAGAACAUGGCGUAGGAAGUCCCAGCUGACCGAAUCGUAGGCUUUCUCGAAGUCGAGUUUAAGGAUCAAGGCUUUGGAGCACCUUUUCCUAAGAUCGUGCACAAUCUAAUGUAAGCAGAGGAUACCAUCUAGAAUAAAUCUACCCUUAAUGAAGGCAGACUGGGACGGGCUAAUGGUGCGAUGAGCCACGAGGGUUAACCUAGUCGCCAUGCCUUUCGCAGUAAACUUCGCGAAGUUAUUUAUCGGCCAAUGGGACGUGUCGUGGAAUUAUCACGGCAGAUGUCCUAGUGAAAGGACUUAAUCGUGGAGCCAUCGCAACUAGGAAGCUUAAAGGGGUGAAAACGGGACAAAGGACACGAGGGUUUAUACUGGUUCGGCCCCUUGUGGUGAAGGUAAAGGCCUAAUCUAGUUUGAGGUGGUAUUGCUUAUGUUUCGAUUACUAGGGAGCGAAUCCGCUUGACCUAGCUUUCGAUCUGAUGUUAUCUGCCCUGAACCGCCGCCGGGUCGUCCCUUUAUAUACAGAGGUCGACGCCCAGCGGCUCACNNNNNNNNNNNNNNNNNNNNNNNNNNNNNNNNNNNNNNNNNNNNNNNNNNNNNNNNNNNNNNNNNNNNNNNNNNNNNNNNNNNNNNNNNNNNNNNNNNNNGCAGUCUGUAUAUCUAUAUCAAGUAGAUAUACUGACAAGUACCACAGCAAAUUAUUUAUGAGUUAUCUUUGAGCAGGAAAAAACAACAAGUUCAGUCUUUUCUUUUGUUCUGCUGCAGGUUAUUCAAACUCUGAAGAAAAGUAAACAAAUGGAAAGAAACACAUUCAUUUAAGACUGUUAGCGCUCAUUAAUACAGUAUAGAUCAGACAAUGAGUACAUACCCUCUCAGAACAGUUGACUGAAUAUCAUCUUAUGCACCAUCACAAAGUGUUAGUGCCACAACUAAAAAUAAAUGGCACAAACUGAGUACAUACCACAAAAUAGACUAAGACGUUAUUGCAUCUACCUUGUAUACACAGUUAUCCGGAAGCUUGGCAAUGACUGAACAGAAAGGUCUAUUCAUUUGUGGUCAUGACUCUGGACUCGCUAGGUGCACUGCAUGCUUGUUAGUUUUGCGGCACAUUGCAACUGUGCAUGUAAGAUGAAAUCUACGCUACCGUUCCAAGAAGAUACUCGGUCAUAUUCAUUGGAGUCAAUAUGCAAUGAUAGACAUGUGCUUCUUUCCAAAUUAUUUUCUUUAGUCAGAGUUUGAAAAAUAAUGAAUGGAAAUGAGGGCAAGCUGCACGCUGAAUUUGAUGUUCGAAAUUAACUGAUAGUAACACGGCAUGGUACAGAUAAUGUUGGGACAUAAUAACUGAUAGUAACAUUUCUGGAAUCCAAAUUGAAUAAGAAAUCACAGCGUGCUAGUAACUAAAAAAAGUAAAAAAACUGGCACUUCCUCAAAACUCAUUCAUGUCUUCUCUACCAUCAGUGCUCAUAGGACAUGUAGACGUUCCAGCAGCCACUGCAUGGAGAUAUGAACAGAAACACAACGUCAGUCAAAUUAACCAGACAAGUUCACAACUAAAACUAAAAUAAUGUAUAGAAGGUAUCAAGGUUAGUCCCGUAGCACAUUAUAAACAGCAAAUAUUCCCAACUAGCAAAACAGCAUAUCGUUACCAUUCAGAUUCUGAUAACCACACAGCUGAGUAAAAGCAUAUCAUGGAGGAAACUGGUUAAAAAAAAGGCUACGGGUGAUAUGAGGUAUGCACCUUGUUGGUAAUAGAAAAGACAUGCCUUUGUUUCAGUGAAAAGAUAUGUGGAAAAGAGCAGUAUCAGGAUUCGAGGGUUGCAUAAAAGAGACUGCUUCCGCUCAAUCUGCAUUCAGUAUUUAUUCUGUGGCGGACUGACUGCUCAGCAACCCAUCAAUGGGGGCGUAUGGAAGCCUCUUUUCCUACUAGUGGGGCCCAUGUAGGUGGCAUGACAAGGUGGUGGGAAGUUUAGUCCCAUACCGCUAGUGGAAGAAGAGUUGGAGUGGUUUAUAAGGGAUUCUCUCCCUCAUGCUAUUGGAGCUUGAGAAGAAAAGAAGCCCUCGCGCACUCCUCCUCCGCUCGCCUCGCCUGCCUCGCCUCGCCGCUUCUUUUUGCCGGUCAGUCCACGCCUACGUCGUUCCUCUGCUGCUGCUGCCACCGGCGACUCCAUCCCGUUCACCGCGUACACGGUUGACGGGAGAGCAGGCCGCGACUGCUCGCUUCUGUUCAUGUACGUCCGCAUCACCUUCAUCAUCACCAUGUCGACCGACGCCGACCGUGCCGCCGCUGAGAAGGCCGAGGCCGACAAGAAGGCCGCCAAGGAUGCCGCGGCUGCUGCGGCGUGGCCGAUUGGAGGGUAUACAUCGCUUAUCCCUCUCGUGUUUCUUUCUGUUGUAGCAGUACUAGCGAUAUGCGUAGAUGUUUCUACUAUGUGCGUAGUACAUGCACUGUUAGAUCGUAAUCAGUGUGUUAUCAAUGCUGUCCAUGUCAUGCUCAUGAUUUAUUCAUGGAUUAAUUUAAUCGAAAAACUGCCUAUUUUCUCAUCAAUCCAAAAACUCUAAGUCCUCUAAGUUCAACAACCAACCUAGUUCUCGUGGAAUUUGCCCGGAAAGUUGGUUGUGGUGAAGGUAUAAUGUAGUGAGUCUGGUCAUAUUUCCUAAGAUGGUUGGCAUGGAACCUGUGAGUUUGUUGAUUCCAAGAUCCAAGUCCUCUAAGUUCAACAACAAACCUAGUUCUCGUGGAAUUUGCCCAGAAAGUUGGUUCAUGCCGAGGUAUAAGGUAGUGAGUUUUGUCAAAUUUCCUAAGCUAUUUGGGAUGUAACCUAUAAGCUUGUUGUAGCUAAGGAGCGAGUACCUUAAGUUGACCAAAUGACCAAGUUCUCGAGGGAUGUGUCCA
rnacentral:lncRNA from 1 species